rnacentral:rRNA from 1 species
GUCUUCUUGAAUGUAUAAGAAGUCUGACCUGCCCGGUGAAUAAGUAUUUAACGGCCGCGGUAUUUUGACCGUGCAAAGGUAGCAUAAUCAUUAGUCUUUUAAUAGAGGGCUGGAAUGAAGGGUUUGACGAAAUGCUUACUGUCUCAUUUAAUUUGUAAUUUGAACUUAACUUUUUAGUUAAAAGGCUAAAUUGUUUUUGGAAGACGAGAAGACCCUAUAGAGCUUUAUAUUUUAAAAUUUAAAAAAUUUUUGUUUUAUUAUUAUUUUUUAAAUGGAGAAUUAUUUUGUUGGGGUGACAAAAAUAUAUAAUAAACUUUUUUAUUUUAAUAACAUUGAUUUAUGAUUAUUAGAUCCAUUAUUAUUGAUUGGUAGAGAAAGUUACCUUAGGGAUAACAGCGUAAUCUUCCUUCAGAGUUCAAAUUUACAGGAAGGCUUGCGACCUCGAUGUUGGAUUAAGAUAAUAAUUAGGUGUAGCCGCUUAAUUAAUAGGUCUGUUCGACCUUUAAAUUCUU